GCAGGAAUGGUGGAAUGGCAGACACGCUAGACUUAGGAUCUAGUUCUUCGGAGUGAGGGUUCAAGUCCCUUUUCCUGCA
rnacentral:tRNA from 1 species